UAUAUAUGUCGGAUAAGGCACAUACGUGCGAAACCACUCACUUGAAUCCAAUCUCCUCAGCAGUAACUUGGAAGCAUUAUCCAUGGCGGAAUCCGCUUGCCUGCGUCUCGUCUCUUCAAAUCUCUUGAAGACGAAGAGACCCUUUGGAGCGAAGGCGAAGCCCAUCGAUUCGCUACGACCCCGAUUGCCUCCCAUUGCUUGUUCCUCGAGAAAACAAGACUCUUCCUCGAUAGGUAAUGGAGGAGGCUGUAGAGCUAAGCGUUUGAUAACGUUAUCUCCGAGUGAGGGAAGAUGGCAUGGCAAUUGGAAUUCGCAAUACAAUGUCUCCCUUCGAGAUCUUUGCCUCGAAGAUCUCGUCGAAGACGGCCCUACGAAUGCCCGUGUCUCCAUCCACCUCUCAGUCCAAAGGCAUGCGAGCUUGGGCCUCUCGGUAGAAGGCAGAGUUGUCACAUCUUUUUCCAGAAAGUGCAGCAUUUGCUCCUCUCCUUAUAACCGACGAAUCGACACGAAUUUCACGGUCUGGAUCCUGCCAUCGAGCAGGGAGAGCCGAGCUUCUCAACUUCCGGAAAUCGGUGGCGAUGAUCCUUCGGUCAUAUACGUGAGGCCAGGCUAUGAAGCUAACCUUGAUUCCCUUAUACAGGACACUAUCCGCCUUACGACUUAUGCCAAUGUUCGAGUUCGGGUUUUGGUGGACGAGUACCUAUAUUCGUGGGUACUCUAAACCCAGGGGGAAAGGGCGAGACGAAGCUGCGAGGGGACGCAGGGCUGGAGAUGGUGGGCGGUUCAAAGAGAGAGGAGGAGGCGGCUAGAAGGCGAUGACCUUGCCGCUCGGGUUUAAUCGUUUCAAAUUAGGGAUUCUUGAAUCAGGAUUUCGUGUCUUAAAGGGGAAAAACAGAGUUUUCACAUCCUCGGCCCCGUCCUCGCCGGUCGUUGCUUGCGGUCCGCGUUUUCGGGAUGCGUGCUCGGAUGCAUGCGAACAAUCAGAACCGACAAUGCAGUACAUUGGAGAGACAAAUACAGCUUCUGUUGAUAAAAGAUGGUCCAGA